UACGUAGGGGGCAAGCGUUGUCCGGAAUCAUUGGGCGUAAAGCGCGUGUAGGCGGCUCGAUAAGUCUGCUGUGAAAGUCCAGGGCUCAACCCUGGGAUGCCGGUGGAUACUGUCGGGCUCGAGUCCGGAAGAGGCGAGUGGAAUUCCUGGUGUAGCGGUGAAAUGCGCAGAUAUCAGGAGGAACACCAAUGGCGAAGGCAGCUCGCUGGGACGUGACUGACGCUGAGACGCGACAGCGUGGGGAGCAAACAGG
rnacentral:rRNA from 1 species